UACGGAGGGUGCAAGCGUUAUCCGGAUUUACUGGGUUUAAAGGGUGUGUAGGCGGACUUUUAAGUCAGCGGUGAAAUCUCCGGGCUCAACCCGGAAACUGCCAUUGAUACUGUUAGUCUUGAGUACAGUUGAGGUGGGCGGAAUGUGUCAUGUAGCGGUGAAAUGCUUAGAUAUGACACAGAACACCGAUUGCGAAGGCAGCUCACUAAGCUGUAACUGACACUGAGGCACGAAAGCGUGGGGAGCAAACAGG
rnacentral:rRNA from 1 species